rnacentral:tRNA from 1 species
GCCGAGGUAGUCAAGAGGCCAAAGACGGUGGACUCAAGCGCCCGAAUCGCGAGUUCGAAUCUCGUCCUCGGCACCA